UGCCAGCCGCCGCGGUAAUACGGAGGGUGCAAGCGUUGUUCGGAAUUAUUGGGCGUAAAGCGCGUGUAGGCGGUUCGUUAAGUCUGAUGUGAAAGCUCGGGGCUCAACCCCGGAACUGCCUCCGAUACUGGCAAUCUAGAGGUCGAGAGAGGCGAGCGGAAUACCGAGUGUAGAGGUGAAAUUCGUAGAUAUUCGGUGGAACACCGGUGGCGAAGGCGGCUCGCUGGCUCGAUUCUGACGCUGAGGUGCGAAAGUGUGGGGAGCAAACAGGAUUAGAUA
rnacentral:rRNA from 1 species